rnacentral:rRNA from 1 species
AUUGAACGCUGGCGGCAGGCUUAACACAUGCAAGUCGAGCGGGGGAAGGUAGCUUGCUACCGGACCUAGCGGCGGACGGGUGAGUAAUGCUUAGGAAUCUGCCUAUUAGUGGGGGACAACAUCUCGAAAGGGAUGCUAAUACCGCAUACGUCCUACGGGAGAAAGCAGGGGAUCUUCGGACCUUGCGCUAAUAGAUGAGCCUAAGUCGGAUUAGCUAGUUGGUGGGGUAAAGGCCUACCAAGGCGACGAUCUGUAGCGGGUCUGAGAGGAUGAUCCGCCACACUGGGACUGAGACACGGCCCAGACUCCUACGGGAGGCAGCAGUGGGGAAUAUUGGACAAUGGGGGGAACCCUGAUCCAGCCAUGCCGCGUGUGUGAAGAAGGCCUUAUGGUUGUAAAGCACUUUAAGCGAGGAGGAGGCUACUUUAGUUAAUACCUAGAGAUAGUGGACGUUACUCGCAGAAUAAGCACCGGCUAACUCUGUGCCAGCAGCCGCGGUAAUACAGAGGGUGCGAGCGUUAAUCGGAUUUACUGGGCGUAAAGCGUGCGUAGGCGGCUUAUUAAGUCGGAUGUGAAAUCCCCGAGCUUAACUUGGGAAUUGCAUUCGAUACUGGUGAGCUAGAGUAUGGGAGAGGAUGGUAGAAUUCCAGGUGUAGCGGUGAAAUGCGUAGAGAUCUGGAGGAAUACCGAUGGCGAAGGCAGCCAUCUGGCCUAAUACUGACGC